rnacentral:rRNA from 1 species
AGUCGACGAUGAAUCUUCUAGCUUGCUAGAAGUGGAUUAGUGGCGCACGGGUGAGUAAUGCAUAGGUUAUGUGCCCUUUAGUCUGGGAUAGCCACUGGAAACGGUGAUUAAUACUGGAUACUCCCUACGGGGGAAAGUUUUUCACUAAAGGAUCAGCCUAUGUCCUAUCAGCUUGUUGGUGAGGUAAUGGCUCACCAAGGCUAUGACGGGUAUCCGGCCUGAGAGGGUGAUCGGACACACUGGAACUGAGACACGGUCCAGACUCCUACGGGAGGCAGCAGUAGGGAAUAUUGCUCAAUGGGGGAAACCCUGAAGCAGCAACGCCGCGUGGAGGAUGAAGGUUUUAGGAUUGUAAACUCCUUUUGUUAGAGAAGAUUAUGACGGUAUCUAACGAAUAAGCACCGGCUAACUCCGUGCCAGCAGCCGCGGUAAUACGGAGGGUGCAAGCGUUACUCGGAAUCACUGGGCGUAAAGAGUGCGUAGGCGGGGUAAUAAGUCAGAUGUGAAAUCCUGUAGCUUAACUACAGAACUGCAUUUGAAACUGUUACUCUGGAGUGUGGGAGAGGUAGGUGGAAUUCUUGGUGUAGGGGUAAAAUCCGUAGAGAUCAAGAGGAAUACUCAUUGCGAAGGCGACCUGCUGGAACAUUACUGACGCUGAUGCACGAAAGCGUGGGGAGCAAACAGGAUUAGAUACCCUGGUAGUCCACGCCCUAAACGAUGGAUGCUAGUUGUUGCCUUGCUUGUCAGGGCAGUAAUGCAGCUAACGCAUUAAGCAUCCCGCCUGGGGAGUACGGUCGCAAGAUUAAAACUCAAAGGAAUAGACGGGGACCCGCACAAGCGGUGGAGCAUGUGGUUUAAUUCGAAGAUACGCGAAGAACCUUACCUAGGCUUGACAUUGAU